CACCGCCCGUCACACCAUGGGAGUCAAAUGCUCCAGAAGUCGACGUGCCAACCGCAAGGAGGCAGUCGCCCAAGGAGUGCUUGGUAACUGGGGUG
rnacentral:rRNA from 1 species